UCACAGCACCGCUUGAUGUCACGUGAUCUCCGUAGCAACCAUCAACAGAGUUCGCGUUCGGCCGUCCCAGAUCUGCUACCUGAAGAGCAAAAACAACAGCGGAUUUUAACGUUUUGCACAACUUCUUGUCUAGGGUGGUGAUAUUCAGUUUUUAUCAGACUCACCAUGGCCAGGAAGAAGGAGAUCCAGCUGCAGGAGGAGCUGAAGAACCAGGAGCAGUGGGACGACUUCCUGUCCAAGAAGGGGCUCGGCAG